rfam:Octopus bimaculoides Scaffold84738_contig_63, whole genome shotgun sequence.
UAGCACUCCCCUUGACAAGGACGGAAGAGGUCAAUCGAUCUUUCUAACACGUAUGGGCAUUGCUCUCUACUUCAGAGCAACCUAUUUUUU